CAUGCAUGCAGAAACCCUCCGCCUUGCUGACAAAACCAUUGUAUUUUCCGAACAUGAAGUAUCUAAAGUAGUUGUCAUGGUAACACGAUAAUUUUUUAAGAAUAUUCUUACAAAUGAAAAAUCGCCUAAAAAUAUAUCACUUUUAAUUACUAAAUUAUCAAUUUCCCAACAUAUAUAUGUUACGUAUGUUAUUAUACUUAAUGCUAAUGCUUUCGUUUCUCCGGGUGUAAAUAGCCGGGGGGGAUUAGUACCCUCGCACGGCGCUUCGCGCCGUCGGCUCGGGGAAUG